rnacentral:rRNA from 1 species
AUUGAACGCUGGCGGCAGGCCUAACACAUGCAAGUCGAGCGGAUGAAGGGAGCUUGCUCCUGGAUUCAGCGGCGGACGGGUGAGUAAUGCCUAGGAAUCUGCCUUGUAGUGGGGGAUAACGUCCGGAAACGGGCGCUAAUACCGCAUACGUCCUGAGGUAGAAAGUGGGGGAUCUUCGGUCCUCACGCUAUCUGAUGAGCCUAGGUCGGAUUAGCUAGUUGGUGGGGUAAAGGCCUACCAAGGCGACGAUCCGUAACUGGUCUGAGAGGAUGAUCAGUCACACUGGAACUGAGACACGGUCCAGACUCCUACGGGAGGCAGCAGUGGGGAAUAUUGGACAAUGGGCGAAAGCCUGAUCCAGCCAUGCCGCGUGUGUGAAGAAGGUCUUCGGAUUGUAAAGCACUUUAAGUUGGGAGGAAGGGCAGUAAGUUAAUACCUUGCUGUUUUGACGUUACCAACAGAAUAAGCACCGGCUAACUUCGUG